GAACUUCUGAAGUGUAUGUGUCAUUUGUCCCGCUGGUCAGCGACAAGAGGCAAGUGGUGACCCGUACCAGGAAUCGGUGAGUGCUCAGGACGCACAAUCACCAAUUUUGGUGCCAGAGAGAUUGGUCAAGGCCUCAACAGAGACC